rnacentral:rRNA from 1 species
AGUGAACGCUGGCGGUAGGCCUAACACAUGCAAGUCGAACGGCAGCACAGGAGAGCUUGCUCUCUGGGUGGCGAGUGGCGGACGGGUGAGGAAUACAUCGGAAUCUACUCUGUCGUGGGGGAUAACGUAGGGAAACUUACGCUAAUACCGCAUACGACCUACGGGUGAAAGCAGGGGAUCUUCGGACCUUGCGCGAUCGAAUGAGCCGAUGUCGGAUUAGCUAGUUGGCGGGGUAAAGGCCCACCAAGGCGACGAUCCGUAGCUGGUCUGAGAGGAUGAUCAGCCACACUGGAACUGAGACACGGUCCAGACUCCUACGGGAGGCAGGAGUGGGGAAUAUUGGACAAUGGGCGCAAGGCUGAUCCAGCCAUUCCGCGUGUGUGAAGAAGGCCUUCGGGUUGUAAAGCCCUUUUGUUGGGAAAGAAAUCCAGCUGGCUAAUACCCGGUUGGGAUGACGGUACCCAAAGAAUAAGCACCGGCUAACUUCGUGCCAGCAGCCGCAGUAA